UACGACCACUUCAGAUUCAAACACAGGUUCCCGUACGAUCACCGAAGUUAAGCAACGUCGAGCCUGGUCAGUACCUAGAUGAGUGACCGCGUGGGAAUACCAGGUGUUGUAUG